UACGUAGGGUGCAAGCGUUUGUCCGGAAUUAUUGGGCGUAAAGAGCUCGUAGGCGGUCUGUCGCGUCUGCUGUGAAAACUCGGGGCUUAACCCCGGGCCUGCAGUGGGUACGGGCAGACUAGAGUGAUGUAGGGGAGACUGGAAUUCCUGGUGUAGCGGUGAAAUGCGCAGAUAUCAGGAGGAACACCGAUGGCGAAGGCAGGUCUCUGGGCAUUAACUGACGCUGAGGAGCGAAAGCAUGGGGAGCGAACAGG
rnacentral:rRNA from 1 species